GGUUGUGGCUCAGAGGUAGAGCACUUCUCUAGCAUAUUCGAGGCCCUGGGUUCGAUCCCCAGCCCCA
rnacentral:tRNA from 1 species